rnacentral:lncRNA from 1 species
GUCUCAAUUAACUCACUCACCAGGAGCCAAGUCCCUCCAUACCUGAUCUCAAUUCACUCACUCACCAGGAGCCAGGUCCCUCCAUACCUCAUCUCAAUUAACUCACUCACCAGGAGCCAGGUCCCUCCAUACCUGAUCUCAAUUAACUCACUCACCAGGAGCCAGGUCCCUCCAUACCUCAUCUCAAUUAACUCACUCACCAGGAGCCAGGUCCCUCCACACCUCAUCUCAAUUAACUCACUCACCAGGAGCCAGGUCCCUCCAUACCUGAUCUCAAUUAACUCACUCACCAGGAGCCAGGUCCCUCCAUACCUCAUCUCAAUUAACUCACUCACCAGGAGCCAGGUCCCUCCACACAGAGUCUCAAUUAACUCACUCACCAGGAGCCAAGUCCCUCCAUACCUGAUCUCAAUUAACUCACUCACCAGGAGACAGGUCCCUCCAUACCUCAUCUCAAUUAACUCACUCACCAGGAGACAGGUCCCUCCAUACCUCAUCUCAAUUAACUCACUCACCAGGAGCC